GACGUAGGGCGCGAGCGUUGUCCGGAUUUAUUGGGCGUAAAGAGCUCGUAGGCGGCUUGUCGCGUCGUCUGUGAAAUCCCGCGGCUCAACUCCGGGCCUGCAGUCGAUACGGGCAGACUGGAGUACUGCAGGGGAGACUGGAAUUCCUGGUGUAGCGGUGAAAUGCGCAGAUAUCAGGAGGAACACCGAUGGCGAAGGCAGGUCUCUGGGCCGAUACAUGACGCUGAGAACGCGAAAGCCGUGGGGAGCAAACAGG
rnacentral:rRNA from 1 species